UUCUUUGGUAUGUGUGUUCUUGCUCUGAUCUUGUUUAAUGUUUCAGUGCUUAGUUGAGUUUAGGUGUUAUCUUAAAAGGGAUUUCUAUGGCAUGGCCCCAGGCUUCUGCAGGCAGCUGGUAUUGGUGCAGUUACUGACUGCCACUGGACAGCCAAGGAAUGAAAUCACAGGAACAGGGAGCUCUGCUUGGGGAUGGCCACCUCUAAGGGCCACAAACAACAUCUCCAUUAGAUCCUGAACCUUCUCCCAAAGUCACCUGAAGUCUAUAGGGCUCCUUAGUGGUUCCUGAAAUCAGAUUCUACUUACUGGGUCUAAGUGAAGCUGCCUGGACUGGCUGGCUGUCUUAACCUGCUCCAAAGCAGGAAUAUUUCCAAGUCACAUCUUGCAUCAAAUGAAGUCUAGGGGAAAGUUGGUACAAGCAACUAGGCAUUCACCAUAUAGGAUCUGGAGAGGAGGGAGACAGCUCUGCCUUUAAAAUCUCUUUGUGCUUAAAAAGCACUUCUCGCAAGUCUGAAAUAGCACAUCUUCAACUCAACAUUUGUCCCUGAGAAAUAUGUUUGAUGCUGUAUAAUUAAAGAGCACAAAAUACAGAUGUAAUUAGUGUUCUGCAAAAAUAGUUUUUCCACUACCAGGCUCUGAAAUGCAUGUUUGCAUGCGCUAUUUGCAAGCUGAUCUUGCAUCCUUGAUGUACCCCUGUGCCUAUGUCAUGGGAGCCAUCUACCUGACAGUUCCCCAUCAGAAUUCUCCCCCCCCCAAAAAUUGCGGAGUUGCUCCCUGAUGCCCGCCCUUGCAGUGUGUGGCUGGGUAGGGGCUGGGGAAGGAAUGCCCUGGGAAUGUCCAGGGUGCUUCUACAGCCUGGCUCCUUGGAGCUGUGUUGUGUUCACAGGCUCUCAGUCUGUUGAGUGUGGCCUGCAGGUAACUGCAUUUGGUGUUGUCAUAGCUGAGCCUAGAAACUCUCCUUGCUCACUGACAGCCCAGUCUUUGUAGCUUGUGGCAUGGGAGGAAAGGGAUGUCUGCCAACACACCUGUUUUUCAAAACAUUAAAUGCUCUGAGUCAAGUCGUAGCAUGUUUUGACAAGGUAAGUUAUCCUUUUUGAA